GUGGGGAAUAUUGGACAAUGGGCGAAAGCCUGAUCCAGCCAUGCCGCGUGUGUGAAGAAGGUCUUCGGAUUGUAAAGCACUUUAAGUUGGGAGGAAGGGCAGUAAGUUAAUACCUUGCUGUUUUGACGUUACCGACAGAAUAAGCACCGGCUAACUUCGUGCCAGCAGCCGCGGUAAUACGAAGGGUGCAAGCGUUAAUCGGAAUGACUGGGCGUAAAGCGCGCGUAGGUGGUUUUGUAAGUUGGAGGUGAAAUCCCCGGGAUCAACCUGGGAACUGCCUGCAAAACUGGAUGACUAGGGGACGGUAGAGGGUAGUGGAAUUUCCUGUGUAGGGGUGGAAAGGGUAGAUAUAGGGAGGAACACCAGUGGCGAAGGCGACUACCUUGACUGAUACUGACACUGAGGUGCGAAAGCGUGGGGAGCAAACAGGAUUAGAAACCCGGGUAGUCC
rnacentral:rRNA from 1 species